UAUUUUUGGAUCUGGUUUGUUACCCGCCUUGAACCAUAAGGCAAGAGCGAGUCUUUUAUUUAUUUGAUUUAUUUUUCGGUUUGUUGCCCGCCUUUAACCAUAAGGCAAGAGCGGGUUAUUUAUUUAUUUCAUUUAAUAUUUUUGAUUCGGUUUGUUACCCGCCUUUAACCAUAAGGCAAGAGCGGGUCUUUUAUUUAUUUGGUUUAAUUGCUUUGAUUUAAUUGCUUUAAUUCAAAUUAUUGCUAUGUGAUAAUUAGAUUUGUUUGGGA
rnacentral:lncRNA from 1 species